AGCGAACGCUGGCGGCAGGCCUAACACAUGCAAGUCGAACGAAGUCUUCGGACUUAGUGGCGGACGGGUGAGUAACACGUGGGAACGUGCCUUUAGGUUCGGAAUAACUCAGGGAAACUUGUGCUAAUACCGAAUGUGCCCUUCGGGGGAAAGAUUUAUCGCCUUUAGAGCGGCCCGCGUCUGAUUAGCUAGUUGGUGAGGUAAUGGCUCACCAAGGCUACGAUCAGUAGCUGGUCUGAGAGGAUGACCAGCCACAUUGGGACUGAGACACGGCCCAAACGCCUACGGGAGGCAGCAUUGGGGAAUCCUGCGCAAUGGGCGAAAGCCUGACGCAGCCAUGCCGCGUGGAUGAUGAAGGUCUUAGGAUUGUAAAAUUCUUUCACCGGGGACGAUAAUGACGGUACCCGGAGAAGAAGCCCCGGCUAACUUCGUGCCAGCCGCCGCCGUAAGAC
rnacentral:rRNA from 1 species